rnacentral:rRNA from 1 species
AUUGAACGCUGGCGGCAGGCCUAACACAUGCAAGUCGAACGAGUGGCGGACGGGUGAGUAAUGUGUGGGAAACUGCCUGAUGGAGGGGGAUAAAUACUGGAAACGGUCGCUAAUACCGCAUACCAUCGGAUGUGCCCAGAUGGGAUUAGCUAGUAGGUGGGGUAAAGGCUCACCUAGGCCACGAUCCCUAGCUGGUCUGAGAGGAGGACCAGCCACACUGGAACUGAGACACGGUCCAGACUCCUACGGGAGGCAGCAGUGGGGAAUAUUGCACAAUGGGCGCAAGCCUGAUGCAGCCAUGCCGCGUGUAUGAAGAAGGCCUUCGGGUUGUAAAGUACUUUCAGCGGGGAGGCGUUACCCGCAGAAGAAGCACCGGCUAACUCCGUGCCAGCAGCCGCGGUAAUUC